CCCCCCACCUCUCGGGGCCCCGCCCACCACGGUGACGUCGAAUUUUGCGCGGCAACGUCGUUUUGCACGCGGCGACGUCGGGUUUUUUUUGCGCGGUGACGUCAUUCUUUUACGCGGGACGUCAUUUUUUUUGUUUAUUACGCGGGAGACUUCGUUAUUGCGCUGCGACGUCACCGCGUAGACGACGCGGUGACGUCGCCGCGCCACAAACGACGUCACCGCGGUGGGGUCUUGCAAAACGACAUGUCGCGGUGUACAGUGUGCGCCACUUGAGCACUGUACACUGCACCGUGCGUGAGCGCCACAGGAGAGAGGGGCGCUUGGCUGGGCUGUAGCCGCGUGAAAUAUAAAGGCGUCCUUAAACACCGCCGUCGCCGCGGACAAUUAGUGAAGGGGUUCGUCACGUUGGAGACGAAACCCCACAACUACAACAUUUACAAUUCGAGUAGCCCGCGAGAGUAAUCGGCGACUGCGCUGAGACUGAUCAACUCGCUACAUUUGAGAAGUAAUUUUAAUUAACAGUCGCAGCGACGCAGCGCUCGCUAAUGCCACGGCCAGAGGGACGUGGUGCUGGUGAAAGGCCGGCCCACGGAGAUGGACGUGGCGUGGAGAUUUGUCGAGCGAGAGGCAAGAGAUCCGUGGAGUGAGAGAGGCAGAGACGUAGUUCGGGAGAGGCACGGGGUGCGAGGAGCCAUGGCCGCGUCUCUGUGCAAAUGACGUCUAACCGUUGAGCGAGAUAAUGCCACCACAGUAGGGAAGGGCGCAUUGCGGUCUAAAAAAAAACCUCGCAACAUAAGAAAGAGUUAACACAUUGUAUGGUGGGGAAAACGUCCCGAGGGAUUGCUUGGGGCAGAAUAAAAUUAAAUUCUGGCGAUGUGAAACGUUUUGGGGCUUUAAAAAAUGUGAGCUAGUUGUGUAAAAAUGACCGAAACGGACACACGGUAAAGCGAUGUAUUCCUCAACUUACUCUACAGCUAUUACAUGCCAACAUAGUUUGCAUAACUUACGUGGUUGUGUACAACAUGGGCAUAAGCACAUGUAAUGUGAGUGAGUUCAGUGUAAACAAUAUUCAAAUUUGCACAAUAACAUUAGUCUCAUAACACCAGUAUGCUGCAAACAAACAGUCCAUAUGUAUUACCUAAUUUGACACUUGUGGGUGACUAUUGUACCACAGUAGAAUGUAUGAAUAAUAUUACAUAAUGUUGAUGUUAUGUAUACCGCAAUUUUAUUCUAAAGUCACUUCAUAAUAAA